CACUGAGCAUGGGGAGCCUACCACCUGCUCAUCACUCCAGGACGCCAAGCACUACGACCUGUGCCUAAGACUCCAGAUCAACCAACCGCACAGCCACCACAUCUGCUCUUUGCGUGGGUUCCUGUAUUUUUGGCAUUGGACAACUUAUUCUGAAGAAAUGAUGUUAUAUAAGUGUGUAGUGAAGGACCAAAACCGUGUGAUAAGGUUGUGUGCUGUGUGAUCGGUAACCAGGGAGUGGGGUGGUUGUUAAUGUGCCAAAUACCCCUGCAUCCCUUCCUUGAGGAGUCCUGCCAUCACCCUUGCCCAUUUACCAGACAAUCAUAUGAUUUUUGUUAAAUUUGAAUUUCUAAGACAAGUGUUCUAUUUAUUUUAUUGUUUUGAAGGAAAAAAAAAAAAGGAAUAACCCAACAAGAAAAGAGGAGGGAAAUCCUUCCUGGAUUGCCCUUUAAAAAAGUGAGAGGUAGUAUUGUCAGUGUCAACAGCCAUGGUGCAAGUGUGUCACGCUACGGGCAUGUCAGUGAUUCUCUCUGGGAGCAACCUAACAUCCAAGCAGGUGUGUUUCGUGAAUUCUGUGGCUGUUCUGGGGCAAAGACAAUCAUCUCUGCUGAUGCUGUGUGGUCCAGGCUAUGCUGUAGGCCGGACGGGGACAUCCCUGGAGAUACCACUACCGUGCAGUUCCAGCACAGUUGCAUGCACAGGCUGGGGCAGCGGGGACCCUCUUCAGAGGAACUUGCCAUGGCUGGCAGUGUAAGGAUUCGUGGGCCCAACUGCUCACACUUCUCACAGGUUCAUGGCAGGCUCUCAGUGGUGGACUAGGCCUUGGCUUAGGAAUUCCAGUUUCCUCUAGGUUGGAGCUAGAGGGGAUCCCUGUAUGUGGCUUUCUAUCUCCAAAUUGGGGAAUCUAUCUGGAUAGAGACUUCUAUGAACCUUUGACAACAGCAGAGCAGCUAAAGUCUUUCCUUUUAGUCCUCUUUGGCACUCCUGACUCCUGUCUUCUUUCUCUAACCAUUCUUUCCCCUUCUUAAGCCCCAGCUGUGCCAAGUCCUAUCCUUUGCCCACACCCCUCCCACAAAAAAAGUGACGAUAGCAAGCCCAGGUUCUCUUGUACAGUCACCCCCUUGGGCCCAGCACUUGGAAUUUGAAGGACUUUGUCCUUGACCCUCUGACAGAGACAGCACUUAUCCUCAACUUUCCUGUAGUGCAUCCCCAACAUGCUGCCUCCAUUCGGCAUUGCCCCCAAACAGUAAGCUCUGCCUACCUGACAUCUCUGCACUCUUGCAGGGCCCAUCUGGCUCAAGCCAAGCAUCAGGAGGCACAGGAGACCUCUUAGGGUCAGGGAGCUGGACAAGGUGUGAGUUCUAAGAUCCACUGGAGAACCAACACAACAGGGCUGUGUUGGCCCAUUGCCAGGCAGCAUAGAAAGGCAGGACAAGCGUCCAGCCAAGACUGUUUCCCCAAUGUUAUACUUCCAGUUGUUGCUACUUGCCUCUCAAAAUAGAAAUUCAUAAGGAGGCCCCCGAGUCUGCAUUCCCUCCAGCCCCUGACAAGGCCACACUCUUCCCCUGUUACUUCAGCCUUUCUUAGGAAGAUCAGGUAGGAAACAUAGGGCUUCACCAUCCUGCAGGCCAAGUAAGACACAGAGCAUCCCCGUGCAAACCCAGGAAUGGGUAAGCACCACACGGCUGAGCCUGCCCAGCCUGAGGGGCCCUGCUUUGUAAGACCAGGAGAGCAGAUGAUCUACCCAGACCUUGACUGACACAGACCAUCAGAGUCCCGACUCAGAGCCCUUGCCUUCCUCUGCCUCAUCUGCUUUCCCAGUGAGUGUUUGUGAAGUACUUGCUUAAAUACGUAUUACAUGUUUCAGACACAAAGCUCGAAGCACUGGAUUAUGGUCCCUGUCCUAUCCCCCAUCUCCCUGCUCAAGUGAGCUGUUCACUGUGCUGUUCCAGGUAGGGAAGAGGAGACCCGCUGUGCUCUGCUGGGACAGGAGGGUGUGAAGCCUGUCCCAGAGGGAUGGACCACACUCCCUCUGGCCAUCGGACACUGGGACACUCCUGUCCACAGAGAUCAGCCAGGUAUCAAAAGCCAUGAAAACUGUCUCUGUAGCCUUGAGGGUCACGGUGACAAGACAUUCUUGAAUCAUUUCCGGAUAAUCAUUUCCUUUCUCUCACCAUUCCAGUCAUUUGUUUGUUUAAUUCCUUUCUGUCACCUAUUCAGAUCACCACUUCUAGGAGGGGAAAGGUUGAGUCCAGAAAGGCAGCUUGAAUUUCUAGAUGUGUGAUUCACUUGCAAAUGGAGGAAGGGUCUAAGUCAAGGCCAGGAGGCCCGAAAUGCCCAUGAAAAUGGACCACAAUUCCUGAUGACUAUGGAAAUCGCCGUGGGAGAAUCAUGAAUUAAGAAGACACGAUGUAGAGAAUAGUCAAAAGUGAUUUUUGCAGAUCUCUUUCUGAGGCUUGUGGCAAAGACAGAUGUACUUGUGUAGAGAUUUCUGUAAGGUAAAAAGCCAGGAGCGGCUGGCUUGGAGGUCAAUGCUGUAGAAUAGGACGGACUGGAUACCAAAUGUAAUCUUUCCAAUGCUACAAUGAAUUUAUACAUGAGAUUGAUAUGCAAUAAAUCUGUGUGUUUUUUUAA
ensembl:lncRNA